rnacentral:rRNA from 1 species
CUACGGGGGGCUGCAGUUAGGAAUAAUCUACAAUGCGCGCAAGCGUGAUAGUUUGAGCCAGAGUGCUUAUCUUUCGAUAAGCUUUUGUGAAAUGUAAAAAGUUUCACGAAUAAGGACUGGGUAAGACUAGUGCCAGCCGCCGCGGUAAUACUAGCGGUCCAAGUCGCAGCCAUUUUUAUUGGGUCUAAAACAUCCGUAGCUUGUUUAGUAAGUCUCUUGUGAAAUCUUAUGUCUUAAACAUGGGGCGUGCAAGAGAUACUGCUAAACUAGAGACUGGAAGACGUAAGAAGUAUGUUCAGAGUAACGGUAAAAUGUGUUGAUCCUGGGCAGACUAACAAUAGCGAAGGCAUCUUACGAGGACAGUUCUGACAGUAAGGGAUGAAGGCUAGGGGCGCAAAGGGGAUUAGAUACCCCAGUAGUC